rnacentral:tRNA from 2 species
GACCUUGUGGCGAAAUUGGUAUACGCGCCGGCUUGCUAAGCUUGUGCCCUCUGGGCGUGCAGGUUCGAUCCCUGUCAAGGUCG